rnacentral:rRNA from 1 species
UACGGGGGGGGGCAAGCGUUUGUUCGGAAUUACUGGGCGUAAAGGGCUCGUAGGCGGCCAACUAAGUCAGACGUGAAAUCCCUCGGCUUAACCGGGGAACUGCGUCUGAUACUGGAUGGCUUGAGGUUGGGAGAGGGAUGCGGAAUUCCAGGUGUAGCGGUGAAAUGCGUAGAUAUCUGGAGGAACACCGGUGGCGAAGGCGGCAUCCUGGACCAAUUCUGACGCUGAGGAGCGAAAGCCAGGGAAGCAAACGGG